rnacentral:rRNA from 1 species
UGGGGAAUAUUGGGCAAUGGAGGCAACUCUGACCCAGCAACGCCGCGUGAAGGAAGAAGGUUUUCGGAUUGUAAACUUCUGUCGCAGAGGACGAAACAAAUGACGGUACUCUGCAAGAAAGCCCCGGCUAACUACGUGCCAGCAGCCGCGGUAAUACGUAGGGGGCAAGCGUUGUUCGGAAUUACUGGGCGUAAAGGGUGCGUAGGCGGCCUGAUAAGUCAGAUGUGAAAUCCCCGAGCUCAACUUGGGUGUUGCAUUUGAAACUAUCAGGCUUGAGUGCAGGAGAGGAAAGCGGAAUUCCUAGUGUAGCGGUGAAAUGCGUAGAUAUUAGGAGGAACACCAGUGGCGAAGGCGGCUUUCUGGACUGUAACUGACGCUGAGGCACGAAAGCGUGGGGAGCAAACA